rnacentral:lncRNA from 1 species
UAGUAAAGCCACUGUCUUUACUAAGUUCAGGGUCCUUGUCACGUUCACUGAGGCUGUAACAUAAUUGUUAGAAAGAACAGGAGUGGGAGGGGAGAUGGAGUCGGAGAGUCAGGCAGAGGUUAGAUCACCUACAGGCCAAGGUGGAGGAAGAAACAGGCGACACAGGACUCAAGGACAACACCUGCUCCCAGGCAAAAGGAGUUUGCUGUGGGUGCCCCUCCCUGUCUGUGUGUCCAGUGUGUGGAUAUUCUUUAUACUUUGCCCAUACUGUACAAAUGCUUUUUUUCUAUUCAAUAUUUAGAAGACAUUGCAUUAAAUAGCAAGAUGGCAGAUGAACAUCAGGAAAGAACAUUAGGAACAUCCACAGUGUUCCAUCCAGGAACCUUCACCAUGGAAACCCUUGUGCUCAUGGGCCUGGUCUCAAGACACAUUCAGCUGUUGGGGAUCAGAGGCCGCACUCAUCGUAGCAGAGAGGCAGGACCAACUGGGAGAGGGUCAUUCUGUGACACCUACUGCAUCACCGGGCUGUGUGAAGUGACUCAGCUGCCAGAACUCACACAAUAUCAUUCUACACCAAAACCUCACGGGAAAAAUGCUCCACGACCCUCAGACUUAAAAAGCCGUAGUAUGGACUUCUCCCUGGGUCUCCAGCUCUACAACCCUCAGACAUGAACAGCAGCAGCACCGGCUCCUUCCCCUGUCUCCGGUUCCACGACCUUCAAACUACAACAGCAGUACCAGCCUCUCCCAAGGUCUCCAGAUCCACGAUCCUCAAAAUAGAAUGGCAUCAUCAGCUCCUCCCUGGGUCUCCAGCUCCCAAACCCUCAAACUUCAACUGACACACCGGAUCCCUCCAAGGUUAAACAGCAGCAUGGGCUGUUCCCCAAAGCUCCAGAUCCAUGACCCUCUGACUUAAAUGGCGGUAGCACUGGCUGCUCCCUAGGUCUCCAGUUCCAUGACCCUCAAACUACACAGCACCAGCUCUUCCCCAGGUCUACUGCUCCACCACCCUCACACUAGACACCAACACUACCUCCUCCCCGCUCUCCAGCUACACGACCCUCAGACUUGAACAGCAGCAGUGGCUCCUCCCUAGAUUUCCAGCUCCAUGACCCUCAACCUGCAACCACAGCACGAGCUCUUCCCUGUACCUCAAGCCCCAUGACCCUCUGACUUGAACAACAGCAACACCAGCCACCCCCAGGUCUCCAGCUCCACAACCCUCAGCCUUAAACAACAGCAGCACCAGCUCCUCCCUGGGUCUCCAGCUUCACACCCCUCAGAUUAGAACAGCACCCCUCCUCCCUGAGUCUCCAGCUCCAUGACCCUCAAACUACAACAGCAACACAGGCUCCUCCCUGCAUCUCCAGCUCAACAACUCUCAGACUUGAGAGGCAGCACCGGCAACUCCCCAAGGCUCCGGCUCCAUGACCCUCAGAUUUGAAUAAUGGUAGCACCAUCUGCUAUCCAGGUCUCCAGCUUCAUGAUCCUUAAACUAGAACAGCAGCACCACUGCCUCCCUGGAUUUCCAGCUCCACGACCCUAAGACAUGAAUGGCAGAACUAGCUCCCCACCAGUUUUCCAGCUCCAGGACCCACAGAUUUAAAGCACAGCACCAGCUCUUCCCGGGAUCUCCAGCUCCACUACCCUCAAACUAGAACAGCAGCACCAGCUCCUCCCUGGUUCUCCAGCUCCCAAACCAUCAAACUUCAACUGACACACAGGAACCUCCCCACAGUUAAACAGCAGCACGGGCUGUUCCCCAAAACUCCAGAUCCACAACCUUCUGACUUAAAUGGCAGUAGCACUGGCUCCUCCCUAGGUCUCCAGUUCCAUGACCCUCAAACUACACAGCAGUACCAGCUCCUCCCCAGGUGUACAGCUCCACCACCCUCACACUAGACACCAAGACUGUCUCCUCCCCACUCUCCAGCUACAUGACCCUCAGACUUGAACAGCAGCAGCAGAUCUUUCCUGUACCUCAAGCCCCAUGACCUCGGAUUUCAACAACAACAACACCAGCUCCUGCCUAGGGCUCCAGCUCCAGGACCCACAGAUUUAAACGACAGCACCGGCUCUCCCCAGGAUCUCCAGCGCCACUACCCUUAAACUAGAACAGCAGCACCGCCUCCUCUCUGGUUCUUCAGUUGCACAACACUCAGGCACGAACAGCAGCACCGGCUCUUCCUUGGGUCUCCAGCUUCACUACCCUCAGACUAGAACAGCAACACUUGUUCCUCCCUGGAUCUCCAGCUCAAUGACUCCCAGACUUGAAAGGCAGCACCAACUCCUCCAUGGAUCUCCAGCUCCAUGACACUCAAAACAACAUGGCUCCUCCCUGGGUCUGCAGCUCCAGGACCCUCGAACUACAACAACAUUGUUCCUCCCUGGGUCUGCGGCUCCAUGAUCCUCAAACUCGAACAAGACCUCUCCUCCCUGGGUCUCCAGCUUCCGGACCCUCAAAUUACAACAACAUUGCUCCUGCCUGGGUCUGCAGCUCCACGACCCACAAAUAAGAACAAGACAAGACCUCUCCUCCCUGGGUCUCCAGCUUCCUGAUCCUCGAACUACAACAACAUUGCUCCUGCCUGGGUCUGUAGCUCGACAACCCUCAAACUAGAACAAGACCUCUUUUCCCUGGUUCGCCAGCUUCCGGACCCUCAAACUAAAACAACAUUGCUCCUGCCUGGGUCUGCAGCUCCAUGACCCUCAGACUCGAACAAGACCUCUCCUCCCUGCGUCGGCAGCUUCCUGACCCUCAAACUACACCAACAUUGCUCCUCCAUGGGUCUGCAGCUCCACGACCCUGAAACUAGAACAAGACCUCUCCUCCCUGGGUCUCCAGCUUCCGGACCCUCGAAUUACAACAACAAUGCUCCUGCCUGGGUCUGCAGCUCCAUUACCCUCAAAUAACAACAAGACCUCUCCUCCCUGGGUCGCCAGCUUCCAGACUCGAACUACAACACUGCUCCUCCCUGGAUCUGUAGCUCAACGACCCUUAGCUAGAACAAGACCUCUUUUCCCUGGUUUGCCAGCUUCUGGACCCUCAAACUAAAACAACAUUGCUCCUGCCUGGGUCUGCAGCUCCACGACCCUCAGUCUCGAACAAGACCUCUCCUCCCUGCGUCGUCAGCUUCCGGACCCUCAAAUUACAACAACAUUGCUCCUGCCUGGGUCUGCAGCUCCAUGACCCUCAAAUAACAACAAGACCUCUCCUCCCUGGGUCGCCAGCUUCCUGACCCUUGAAUUACAACAACAUUGCACCUGCCUGGGCCUGUAGCUCGAUGACCCUCGAACUAGAACAAGAACUCUCCUCCCUGAGUCGCCAGCUUCCUGACCCUCGAACUACAACAGCAUUGCUCCUCCAUGGGUCUGCAGCUCCACAACCCUGAAACUAGAACAAGACCUCUCCUCCCUGGGUCUGCAGCUCCACCACCCUCACCCUAGAACAGCAGCACCAGCUCCUUCCUGGACCUCCAGCUCAAUGACUCUCAGACUUCAAAGGCAGCACCAUCUCCACCCCCAGGCUCCAGCUCCAACACCCUCAGAUUUGAGCAGCGACAACACCAGCUCCUUUCUGGGUCUUCUGUUUCACGAUCCUUAAAUUAGAACAGCAGCACCAUCUUCUCCCUGGGUCUCCAGCUCCACGAGACUCAAGCUAGAAUAGCAGCACCAGCUCCUCUCGGAUCUUCAGUUCCACGACCCUAAGACAUCAGUGGUAGCACCGGCUCCUCCCCUGGGCUCCAGCUCCAGGACCCUCAGACUUGAACAAAAACACCAGCUCCUCCCCAGGCCUCCAGCUCCUUGACCCUCAUAAACAAUCCCUUCUUAUGAAAUGUAGCAGUCAGGAAAACUAUAGAGGAAGUAAAUAAAUAAAUGUUUUCUUUCAAAUUGAUGUUUC